GAGGAGUCAAAGUGUCCCCGAGGGAGAGGCGCCCAGGCCAGGGAUGAAAAGAGCCAGCCCAGCCCCGAGGAAGCAGCAGGAUAGAAGCGACUUUGUCUGUACAAAGUGCAAGCUGGUCUCCAUGUUGGAAGAGAAGGUUUAUAGUCUGGAGAAACAAGUAUCAACCCUGCAUUGCAUAAGAGAAAAUUAUUUCCUUGACAGACGUCUGGAUAUGCUUCUGCGGGCACAACAUUCUGAAGAAUCAGAGCAGGCUGCACAGCGGGGACAGAAGGAUGGUGAAGAAACUUGGCAGCAUGUCACCUCCAGAAGAAGAAAGAGAAGCGUCCAUGUACCAGCAAUGCAGAUACAGAUCUCAAAGCUCCUCACAAGGGAAGGUGUGUCAUUAUCCCCAGUGUAAAGGAUGUGACUUGCCUGUGAUCACACAGCAGAUCGGUGGCUGAGCCAGGAGUAGAAACCCAUUCGCCCAGACCAGCAUCCUAGACCAGGCUUCCUCCCAACUACCUCUGCAGGACUGAAGUUAAUUUGUUAGGACUGGAGAAGCUAAGGAUCGUCCAGUCUCUUCCUCCUGCUCCCCCCGGGAUGCAUACCAAUGGAGCAUCUAAGCACCUGUCUGGAAUGGUAGAAUUGCGGGAUGGAGUCUAGUUCCCUAUUGCUUAGGUGUCAUGUUUGUCACAUUCAUGACUUUUAGUGUUGUUGACAAAAAGUCAUGGCCUUUGUCUACCAAACCAGCCAGCUACAGAACAAGUCCCUUCCCAGAAUUUGUGAAACUGGACUUGCUAAGUUGAGUGGGGUGGACAAUAGGACAGUGACCUGGGUUUUUUUAAUAAUUUUUAACUAAAGUUAAAUGAUUCAGACUUGUACAGGGCCCGUAUAAUAGUGGCCUGAACUGAAUUUUAGAUUCCCAUGUAUUAUAUGAAUGUAUCUUCCUGUACCAGCUCAGAGGGUGUCUGGAGUGUUGAAUAAAGAUGUUUCUAGAUAACUGCAGCCCUAUAAAAACCAUGUAAUUUAGGAAUGUGUAACAGGCUUUAUUGGAAGCCACUGGAUUAUUACAUUUCUAUGUCUCUUCUAUAUGAAUGUAGGUGUUUAAUGAUCCUCUUAUGCUUUUUAAAUGAUUACUGACCAUUCUGUAACACUUUUCUAAUGGGAAAUACACUUAAUAACAAUUAUUAAAAUCCU